UAGGGAAUCUUCGGCAAUGGGGGCAACCCUGACCGAGCAACGCCGCGUGAGUGAAGAAGGUUUUCGGAUCGUAAAGCUCUGUUGUAAGUCAAGAACGGGUGUGAGAGUGGAAAGUUCACACUGUGACGGUAGCUUACCAGAAAGGGACGGCUAACUACGUGCCAGCAGCCGCGGUAAUACGUAGGUCCCGAGCGUUGUCCGGAUUUAUUGGGCGUAAAGCGAGCGCAGGCGGUUUGAUAAGUCUGAAGUUAAAGGCUGUGGCUCAACCAUAGGUCGCUGUGGAUACUGUCAAACUUGAGUGCAGAAGGGGAGAGUGGAAUUCCAUGUGUAUCGAUGAAAUGCGUAGAUAUAUGGAGGAACAACGGUGGCGAGAGCGGCUCUCUGGUCUGUAACUGACGCUGAGGGUCGAAAGCGUGGGGAGCGAACAAG
rnacentral:rRNA from 1 species